rnacentral:rRNA from 1 species
GAUGAACGCUGGCGGCGUGCCUAAUACAUGCAAGUCGAGCGAACAGAUAAGGAGCUUGCUCCUUUGACGUUAGCGGCGGACGGGUGAGUAACACGUGGGUAACCUACCUAUAAGACUGGGAUAACUUCGGGAAACCGGAGCUAAUACCGGAUAAUAUUUCGAACCGCAUGGUUCGAUAGUGAAAGAUGGUUUUGCUAUCACUUAUAGAUGGACCCGCGCCGUAUUAGCUAGUUGGUAAGGUAACGGCUUACCAAGGCGACGAUACGUAGCCGACCUGAGAGGAUGAUCGGCCACACUGGAACUGAGACACGGUCCAGACUCCUACGGGAGGCAGCAGUAGGGAAUCUUCCGCAAAGGGCGAAAGCCUGACGGAGCAACGCCGCGUGAGUGAUGAAGGUCUUCGGAUCGUAAAACUCUGUUAUUAGGGAAGAACAUACGUGUAAGUAACUGUGCACGUCUUGACGGUACCUAAUCAGAAAGCCACGGCUAACUACGUG